rnacentral:rRNA from 1 species
AUCUUCCGCAAUGGGCGAAAGCCUGACGGAGCAACGCCGCGUGAGUGAUGAAGGGUUUCGGCCCGUAAAACUCUGUUAUUAGGGAAGAACAAAUGUGUAAGUAACAGUGCACAUCUGGACGGUACCUAAUCAGAAAGCCACGGCUAACUACGUGCCAGCAGCCCCGGUAAUACGUAGGGGGCAAGCGUUAUCCGGAAUUAUUGGGCGUAAAGCGCGCGUAGGCGGUUUCUUAAGUCUGAUGUGAAAGCCCACGGCUCAAACGUAGAGGGUCAUUGGAAACUGGGAAACUUGAGUGCAGAAGAGGAAAGUGGAAUUCCAUGUGUAGCGGUGAAAUGCGCAGAGAUAUGGGGGAACACCAGUGGCGAAGGCGACUUUCUGGUCUGUAACUGACGCUGAUGUGCGAAAGCGUGGGGAUCAAACA